rnacentral:lncRNA from 1 species
UUGAAUUCAGAUUCGUGUGAGCCCUUUCAGAAUUUUGUGAUUGCAAAUUGGAGAGUGUUUUCGCUGAGUUGUCGUGAUGAAUUUGGGCAUAUAAUUCGUACCAUGAAGCAUGAUAACUUUGUAUUUUUUUCUGUAUUCAUCUCUUCAGUUGCAUCUGUUCCACUGCAUCUUGUACUUUUUCUGGCAUCACCUUUUGCUGCAUUUUUCUUUUGAAUUACAUUUCCCCCUCUUUUGGACUGUAAUAACCACUUGUAUGUUG